AUACGGCCAUAUCAGGUUGAUCCACCGGUUCUCGUACGAUCUCAAAAGUUAAGCAAAGUCGAACCUGAUCAGUAUCAAGAUUGGUAACGAAUUGUGAAUACCAGGUGCUGCG